rnacentral:rRNA from 1 species
UACGGGGGGAGCAAGCGUUGUUCGGAUUUACUGGGCGUAAAGGGCGCGUAGGCGGCCAGCACAAGUCAGUUGUGAAAUCUCCGAGCUUAACUCGGAAAGGUCAACUGAUACUGUGCGGCUAGAGUGCAGAAGGGGCACUGGAAUUCUUGGUGUAGCGGUGAAAUGCGUAGAUAUCGUAAGGAAGACCAGUGGCGGAAGACGGGGUUGCUUGGGCUGACACUG